AAGGGUAUAGCUCAGUGGCAGAGUGCAUGCUUAGCAUUCACGAGGUCCUGGGCUCAAUCCCUAGUACCUCCA
rfam:Camelus ferus unplaced genomic scaffold scaffold1891, whole genome shotgun sequence.